rnacentral:rRNA from 1 species
GUGCACGCUGGCGGUAGGCCUAACGCAUGCAAGUCGCACGGCAGCACAGUAAGAGCUUGCUCUUACGGGUGGCGAGUGGCGGACGGGUGAGGAAUACAUCGGAAUCUACUUUUUCGUGGGGGAUAACGUAGGGAAACUUACGCUAAUACCGCAUACGACCUACGGGUGAAAGCAGGGGAUCUUCGGACCUUGCGCGAUUGAAUGAGCCGAUGUCGGAUUAGCUAGUUGGCGGGGUAAAGGCCCACCAAGGCGACGAUCCGUAGCUGGUCUGAGAGGAUGAUCAGCCACACUGGAACUGAGACACGGUCCAGACUCCUACGGGAGGCAGCAGUGGGGAAUAUUGGACAAUGGGCGCAAGCCUGAUCCAGCCAUACCGCGUGGGUGAAGAAGGCCUUCGGGUUGUAAAGCCCUUUUGUUGGGAAAGAAAAGCAGCAGGUUAAUACCCCGCUGUUCUGACGGUACCCAAAGAAUAAGCACCGGCUAACUUCGUG